rnacentral:rRNA from 1 species
UACGUAGGGGGCAAGCGUUGUCCGGAUUUAUUGGGCGUAAAGAGCGUGUAGGCGGCUUGGUAGGUCCGCUGUGAAAACUCGAGGCUCAACCUCGAGAUGUCGGCGGAAACCACUUGGCUAGAGUCCGGAAGAGGAGAGUGGAAUUCCCGGUGUAGCGGUGAAAUGCGCAGAUAUCGGGAAGAACACCUAUGGCGAAGGCAGCUCUCUGGGACGGUAUUGACGCUGAGACGCGAAAGCUAGGGGAGCAAACGGG